AUUUUAUUAUUAUUAUUAUAUAUUUUUAUUAAAUUUUAUUUUAGUCGUUCGUUGAUUCAAUUCGUGUUUGGUUUGUAUUAUUAAAUCAAAAAAAAAUAAAAUAAGAAAAGAAAUGAAAAGGGCCAUGCAUGCAUUCCUCUUCACGUAACAAAGGCCCAUUUCUUCUUGUUUUCUUUCUUUAAUGAUGGGCCCAUUCUUUAUUAAUUUGAAAUUCCAAUUGUUGUUACAAAACAAGGAAUUGCAGGUCGUCUCCCUUAUUCAUGUGUAUUGGCUAUGCUUCACGUUUCUUUUUGUUCUAAACCUAAAGCUUCAUUAGCCGCCGCCCCUUUUCCUUUUCAAACUCAGAAAUCAUAACCUUCAUCAUCCAAUUCCCAUUAGAUCCAAGUAACACUUCUAAUCCGGAAGUUCUUCGACGAUUCACAUUGACUCGACGUUCUCUUUGAUCCCUACGUUUCGGAAUCACAUACGACCCGUCGACUGUUCGUACUUCAGAGGCGAACCAGAGUUAGAUUGCUUGUCAGGAUCACGUGGAUUUAGCAAGCAGUUUAUGAUUUGAGCUUUGGUAGAUCUCCGUUUCUUCAUUCUCGGAGGUUCUUUAUUUAUUUCAGAAAUAAAGUGUCGAACUAUUUUAAACUCUUAGACCGCAGUAGUAGUUUCAUAUUAUUCAUGUCUUAGUCUUACAUUUAUAUUUUAGACUAUUGUUGUUGGAUUGGUCCAACUAUUACUUAUCGCUUGUGGCAUGAUUCAGUGU